rnacentral:rRNA from 1 species
UACGGAGGGGGCUAGCGUUGUUCGGAAUUACUGGGCGUAAAGCGCACGUAGGCGGAUCAGUUAGUCGGGGGUGAAAUCCCGGGGCUCAACCCCGGAACUGCCUUUGAUACUGGCAUUCUCGAGUCCGGAAGAGGUGAGUGGAAUUCCGAGUGUAGAGGUGAAAUUCGUAGAUAUUCGGAGGAACACCAGUGGCGAAGGCGGCUCACUGGUCCGGUACUGACGCUGAGGUGCGAAAGCGUGGGGAGCAAACAGG